rnacentral:rRNA from 1 species
GACGAACGCUGGCGGCGUGCUUAACACACGCAAGUCGAACGCUGAAGCUUGGUGCUUGCACUGGGUGGAUGAGUGGCGAACGGGUGAGUAAUACGUGAGUAACCUGCCCUUGACUCUGGGAUAAGCCUGGGAAACUGGGUCUAAUACUGGAUACGACAUGUCACCGCAUGGUGGUGUGUGGAAAGGGUUUUACUGGUUUUGGAUGGGCUCACGGCCUAUCAGCUUGUUGGUGGGGUAAUGGCUCACCAAGGCGACGACGGGUAGCCGGCCUGAGAGGGUGACCGGCCACACUGGGACUGAGACACGGCCCAGACUCCUACGGGAGGCAGCAGUGGGGAAUAUUGCACAAUGGGCGGAAGCCUGAUGCAGCGACGCCGCGUGAGGGAUGACGGCCUUCGGGUUGUAAACCUCUUUCAGCACGGAAGAAGCGAAAGUGACGGUACGUGCAGAAGAAGCGCCGGCUAACUACGUG